UGGGGAAUAUUGGACAAUGGGCGCAAGCCUGAUCCAGCCAUGCCGCGUGAGUGAUGAAGGCCCUAGGGUUGUAAAGCUCUUUCACCGGUGAAGAUAAUGACGGUAACCGGAGAAGAAGCCCCGGCUAACUUCGUGCCAGCAGCCGCGGUAAUACGAAGGGGGCUAGCGUUGUUCGGAUUUACUGGGCGUAAAGCGCACGUAGGCGGACUUUUAAGUCAGGUGUGAAAUCCCGGGGCUCAAUCCCGGAACUGCCUUUGAUACUGGAAGUCUUGAGUAUGGUAGAGGUGAGUGGAAUUCCGAGUGUAGAGGUGAAAUUCGUAGAUAUUCGGAGGAACACCAGUGGCGAAGGCGGCUCACUGUACCAUUACUGACGCUGAGGUGCGAAAGCGUGGGGAGCAAACAGG
rnacentral:rRNA from 1 species